AGAGAUGCACUGGGCUUAAAGCGUGCGCAGGCGGUUUUUGUAAGACGGAGGUGAAAUCCCCGGGCUCAACCUGGGAACUGCCUUUGUGACUGCAAGGCUGGAGUGCGGCAGAGGGGGAUGGAAUUCCGCGUGUAGCAGUGAAAUGCGUAGAUAUGCGGAGGAACACCGAUGGCGAAGGCAAUCCCCUGGGCCUGCACUGACGCUCAUGCACGAAAGCGUGGGGAGCAAACA
rnacentral:rRNA from 1 species